rnacentral:tRNA from 1 species
ACUAUUUUGGCAGACAAGUGCAAUAGAUUUAGAAUCUUUGAAUAUAGAUUUAUCUAUAAAUAGUA